rnacentral:rRNA from 1 species
UACAGAGGGUGCGAGCGUUAAUCGGAAUUACUGGGCGUAAAGCGUGCGUAGACGGUUAUUUAAGUCGGGUGUGAAAGCCCCGGGCUCAACCUGGGAAUUGCAUUCGAGACUGAAUAGCUAGGGUACGGUAGAGGGAAGCGGAAUUUCCGGUGUAGCGGUGAAAUGCGUAGAUAUCGGAAGGAACAUCAGUGGCGAAAGCGGCUUCCUGGACCAGUACCGACGUUCAGGCACGAAAGCGUGGGGAACAAACA